GGCCCCCUAGCUCAAUGGUAGAGCAGCUGACUCUUAAUCAGCGGGUUGUGGGUUCGAGUCCCUCGGGGGUCACCA
rnacentral:tRNA from 2 species